UCUCCUAUAGCUCAGUUGGUAAAGCGUGCGGCUGGUAACCUCAAGGGCCCUGGGUCCAACCCCACUGGGAAAG